UACGUAGGUGGCAAGCGUUGUCCGGAAUUAUUGGGCGUAAAGCGCGCGCAGGCGGUCCUUUAAGUCUGAUGUGAAAGCCCACGGCUCAACCGUGGAGGGUCAUUGGAAACUGGGGGACUUGAGUGCAGGAGAGAAGAGUGGAAUUCCACGUCGUAGCGGUGGAAAUUGCGUAGGAGAUGUGGAGGAACACCAGUGGCGAAGGCGACUCUUUGGCCUG
rnacentral:rRNA from 1 species